rnacentral:rRNA from 1 species
GACGAAGGGGGCUAGCGUUGUUCGGAAUUACUGGGCGUAAAGCGUGCGUAGACGGUUAUUUAAGUCGGAUGUGAAAGCCCCGGGCUCAACCUGGGAAUUGCAUUCGAGACUGAAUAGCUAGGGUGCGGUAGAGGGAAGCGGAAUUUCCGGUGUAGCGGUGAAAUGCGUAGAUAUCGGAAGGAACAUCAGUGGCGAAAGCGGCUUCCUGGACCAGCACCGACGUUCAGGCACGAAAGCGUGGGGAGCAAACAGG